rnacentral:rRNA from 1 species
UUGUGCUUGCACAGAAUGAUUAGUGGCGAACGGGUGAGUAACACGUGAGUAACCUGCCCCUGACUCUGGGAUAAGCCUGGGAAACUGGGUCUAAUACUGGAUAUGCACCGUAGACCGCAUGGUUUUUGGUGGAAAGAAUUUUGGUCAGGGAUGGACUCGCGGCCUAUCAGCUUGUUGGUGAGGUAAUGGCUCACCAAGGCGACGACGGGUAGCCGGCCUGAGAGGGUGACCGGCCACACUGGGACUGAGACACGGCCCAGACUCCUACGGGAGGCAGCAGUGGGGAAUAUUGCACAAUGGGCGAAAGCCUGAUGCAGCGACGCCGCGUGAGGGAUGACGGCCUUCGGGUUGUAAACCUCUUUCAGUAGGGAAGAAGCGAAAGUGACGGUACCUGCAGAAGAAGCGCCGGCUAACUACGUGCCAGCAGCCGCGGUAAUACGUAGGGCGCAAGCGUUAUCCGGAAUUAUUGGGCGUAAAGAGCUCGUAGGCGGUUUGUCGCGUCUGCCGUGAAAGUCCGAGGCUCAACUUCGGAUCUGCGGUGGGUACGGGCAGACUAGAGUGAUGUAGGGGAGACUGGAAUUCCUGGUGUAGCGGUGAAAUGCGCAGAUAUCAGGAGGAACACCGAUGGCGAAGGCAGGUCUCUGGGCAUCUACUGACGCUGAGGAGCGAAAGCAUGGGGAGCGAACAGGAUUAGAUACCCUGGUAGUCCAUGCCGUAAACGUUGGGCACUAGGUGUGGGGGACAUUCCACGUUUUCCGCGCCGUAGCUNACGCAUUAAGUGCCCCGCCUGGGGAGUACGGCCGCAAGGCUAAA